rnacentral:rRNA from 1 species
GUUUGAUCCUGGCUCAGGAUGAACGCUAGCGGCAGGCUUAACACAUGCAAGUCGAGGGGCAGCGGGGUGUAGCAAUACAUCGCCGGCGACCGGCGCACGGGUGCGUAACACGUAUGGAAUCUGCCCUGUACUGGGGGAUAGCCCUCCGAAAGGAGGAUUAAUACCCCAUAACAACUUGAGUGGCAUCACUUGGGUUUGAAAGCUCCGGCGGUACAGGAUGACCAUGCGCCCGAUUAGCUAGUAGGUGAGGUAACGGCUCACCUAGGCUACGAUCGGUAGGGGCCUGAGAGGGUUAUCCCCCACACUGGUACUGAGACACGGACCAGACUCCUACGGGAGGCAGCAGUGAGGAAUAUUGCGCAAUGGAGGCAACUCUGACGCAGCCAUGCCGCGUGCAGGAAGAAGGCGCUACGCGUUGUAAACUGCUUUUAACCGGGAAGAAACCCCAGGACGUGUCCUGGGUUGACGGUACCGGAGGAUAAGCACCGGCUAACUUCGUGCCAG